AACUGAUGAAUACAAAAACAAUCUUAACCCUACAAGACAAGUAUAGAUUGAGUUGGGCUGUUACAAGUUUAAUUCAUAACAGUUACAUUGCCUCACCCCUGCCAUCAAACACUUCAGUGGCUUCAAGUGUAGGCGUAGCCUCUACAGGUACUGCAGCAGAGGGAAAGCAGAGUCAGGAGGGUCUUGGAAGAAGUUCAGAAAAGAUCCAAAUAGGCAGUCUGAACAGUCUUACUUGUUUGCAGGUGGAGUAAUGCACGAAUGGAUAAAAAAGAGUGAGAGGUUAUCAGCUGUUGAGGAGCAAAUGGAGAUCCGUGUCCAGGGGAGUGAGGCUAUUGCGAGUGUGAAAGGUUGUCCAGGAAGUAACUAAGAAGACAUGAACAGAGAGGUGGUGAUCCUCAGAGGACCGAUGAAGUAGAGCAGCCAGCACCCCAAGUAGAGCAGGCACUGUGGAAAAAUAGUUGUGACUCAACUAGACCAUUACAAAGUAUGGCCUGGAGGAUUUUCAUCUCAAGGUGCAAGAACAUUCUUAAUGACUGUACACGGCGGCUGCUGAUGGACGAUGUUGGGCCAGAUGUGCUACAGUUAGCGUUAAGGAGGUUGGAGACUAUGCAGAGAAGCCUUCAGUGGGCAAGAGGAAGACUGAUCAAUGUAACUGCAGCAGAUCAACUUCUGCGUGACUUGGCUGAAUUGAUUCAGGAGGUCGAACUGUCUACUCAGCAUGGCCAACAAGGCUGUUUUGGAUACCAGGCACCAGUGGUUUUCAACAGAGGUAGAGGUAGAUCCCUUUACCUUAUCACUCGGGAACAGCUUUCAUUCCUGAAGUCAUGUGGAUUCACUGCACCUCAGAUGGCUGAUAUUUUGAAUGUUUCACUUCCUACAAUUCGAAGAC